GCUUACGGCCACACCGCCUGGUUCACGGUGAUCUCGUUUGAUCUCGGAAGCUAAGAUAGGUUGGGCCUGGUUAGUACUUGGAUGGGAGACCGCCUGGGAAUACCAGGUGCUGUAAGAU
rnacentral:rRNA from 1 species